rnacentral:tRNA from 1 species
GGAGGUUAAAAUCCUCCNUAC